rnacentral:rRNA from 1 species
ACGGGAGGCAGCAGUGGGGAAUAUUGCGCAAUGGGCGGAAGCCUGACGCAGCGACGCCGCGUGGGGGAUGACGGCCUUCGGGUUGUAAACCUCUUUCGGCCCCGACGAAGCGUUAAGUGACGGUAGGGGUGGAAGAAGCACCGGCCAACUACGUGCCAGCAGCCGCGGUAACACGUAGGGUGCGAGCGUUGUCCGGAAUUAUUGGGCGUAAAGAGCUCGUAGGCGGUGUGUCGCGUCGGCCGUGAAAACCUGCAGCUUAACUGUGGGCUUGCGGUCGAUACGGGCAUCACUGGAGUUCGGCAGGGGAGACUGGAAUUCCUGGUGUAGCGGUGAAAUGCGCAGAUAUCAGGAGGAACACCGGUGGCGAAGGCGGGUCUCUGGGCCGAUACUGACGCUGAGGAGCGAAAGCGUGGGGAGCGAACAGGAUUAGAUACCCUGGUA